rnacentral:rRNA from 1 species
AUUGAACGCUGGCGGCAGGCUUAACACAUGCAAGUCGAGCGGGGGAAGGUAGCUUGCUACUGGACCUAGCGGCGGACGGGUGAGUAAUGCUUAGGAAUCUGCCUAUUAGUGGGGGACAACAUCUCGAAAGGGAUGCUAAUACCGCAUACGUCCUACGGGAGAAAGCAGGGGAUCUUCGGACCUUGCGCUAAUAGAUGAGCCUAAGUCGGAUUAGCUAGUUGGUGGGGUACAGGCCUACCAAGGCGACGAUCUGUAGCGGGUCUGAGAGGAUGAUCAGCCAAGCUGGGAGUGAGACACGGCCCAGACUCAUACGGGAGGCAGCAGUGGGGAAUAUUGGACAAUGGGGGGAACCCUGAUCCAGCCAUGCCACGUGUGUGAAGAAGGCCUUAUGGUUGUAAAGCACUUUAAGCGAGGAGGAGGCUACUUUAGUUAAUACCUAGAGAUAGUGGACGUUACUCGCAGAAUAAGCACCGGCUAACUCUGUGCCAGCCGCCGCGGUAA